GUGUUAUUUGUAGCCUCAAAUCAUUUCUCGCAAUAAGGAAAUAUUUUCCCGCGCUUUCUGCCGCACUGCACAAUGUGCUAACGCAUAUACAUAUACAAUGAAAAAAAGAGUGUGUGCGUGCUGCACAUUUUAUAUUUUUUGUUGUUUGUUUACACAUGUGCGCGUUUUCGCGGCAUCCUCGUUCGUAUAAAAAUAUUAAGUUAACCGUUUUUGUGCAAUUCCUUCUUGUUUUUAAUUUUUUCUGUUAUUCUACUAUAAAGUGUAAAAAGUUUCACUGAACAAAUUAUUAUUAGUAAUAAUAAGUUUAACGAUAACCCAAACCUUUGUUUGAAAUCGAAGCCCCCAAAUUAAAAUUAGUGUGGCAAAAUUGCUUAUAAUUUACUCUUCUCCUGUGCUUAAAUAAGCACAUCAUUAAAUAAUAAUGAAUUUUGUGAAUGCAAGGAGUAAUAUGCCAACAACUUUGGUUCUUAUUAUUGUGUGUUUCCCAAAAGUUUUUAAUCAACAUGCUUGUAUGUACAUACAUAUGUAUUUUUCUGCAAAAAACUAUAAGCUAAUAAAUAAAUAUUUUCCUCCAAAUUUCCUCAAAAAUAUAUUAAAUAUCCAAACGAAUGACCAUGAUAAUUGCAAUUACAUAUAUAAUAAGAACCAUCGCAAUAAAUGAACAAAUAAAAUAAACAGGCAACCAAUCGAAAAUGGUUGUGGUAUUUUAAUUAUGCGCUAAAGGACUCUCCUUACAAUAGUUAAUAUUUAUGUAUGUAUGUUUGUAUGGACAAUAUGUGAAAUUUUGAAAAACUGCGAUAAACUUAAUCGACAAUUUAUCUCUCUUGUUUACAGUUCCAGUGGACCUUUAUUGGGAAAAGUUGUCUUCCAGCUGAGGAGCUCCGCACCUAUACAAGAUUCUACAAUGGCGAGGGUCUCUAUAAAAACUGAGGGCGUGCUGCAGCGAUGUCCUAAGCAGGUUGUGGACCAAGGCCAAUGGCUACUUAAUUUGUACUUGAAGCUGCCUAUGUUGCGUCGACUGAUGCACAUCAACGGAGUCGCUGGAGCUGUUUCAGGUGUCGCCGAAUAUCUUGCACAUGUAGAACGCCGGACUCUUAUACCCUACGUUUUGCCACAAGCCGAGUCGUAUCCGAUUUCCCCCCGCCAGACGGAGUCCUAUCCAAACAUUACCGAGGCGUAUUCGAGACAGACCGAGUCCCAUCCCAGCCAGACUGAAUUGUGUUCCAGCAGGACAGAAGCGCACCCCUUACCUGAUUUGAACCCGGCCAUUUGACGCGAGUUUUUUUUGUACGGUGGCGCCCCAAUCGGCCCGUGCGACGGCUUCCUGUGAUCGGAAAAAUAUCCCUGAUUUGCUGGAGUCCUUAUCAAGGACCAAGGAACAAGGAAAUGUACUCCAGGCGUAUAAAUAUUGUUCUUGCCGUUAUUUUAGGCUCGAUCGGGACCUGCCAGGAACCCACGUGCUCAGAUAAAUAUCCUUGAUCCUUCGGUAAGGACAUCAACCGCCCCAACCAUACAUAUUUAUUUUUCCCGGCUUUUUGUGGCCCGAUCGGGACAUGCGUCAUCUUACUGUGUUUGGAACAGCACCCUUGAUCUAAUGCAGUCCGUAUCAAGGACCAAGGAU